CCACAGUUUAAUAACUUAAAGUCUCUAAAUCUCAGCCACACCUUGGAACAAGUAGAUGAAAAAUGUAAUCACAGUUUAGCAACACUUCUGCGUCUGUAAGGGUAUAAAAGAGAACUUCAACAUCCACAGAGCAUCACUACAGCCUCUUCACUCGUCUCUCAGAAAACCUACUGAAGGUAAAAUCUCUGUAACCAUGCUGAAGGUAGCACUUGUUCUUGGAUGCCUCCUGAGCCUCAUUGUGGCUGAACCUAUGGAGCACCAGCGCUUUGCCCGCUCUGAUUCUAACUCUAAUUCUAACUCAGCUGAGUCAACCACCACGACUACGACCACAGCAGCAGGAGCAACGGCUGCACCGUCACUGGCCCAGAUCCUUGCCCUUAUUCAACAACUGCUCGCUGGUUUGUGAUCAAAUUCCCAGCCUGCUGUUUUAACCAGAAUGCUUUGACUCACCAAUUGGAGACAUGUUAUCCUGACCCUCUG